rnacentral:rRNA from 1 species
UACGUAGGGUGCGAGCGUUGUCCGGAAUUAUUGGGCGUAAAGGGCUCGUAGGCGGUCUGUUGCGUCAGGAGUGAAAACUCGGGGCUUAACCCCGAGCCUGCUUCUGAUACGGGCAGACUAGAGGUAUGCAGGGGAGAACGGAAUUCCUGGUGUAGCGGUGAAAUGCGCAGAUAUCAGGAGGAACACCGGUGGCGAAGGCGGCAUCCUGGACCGGAAUUGACGCUGAGGCGCGAAAGCCAGGGGAGCAAACGGG